rnacentral:rRNA from 1 species
UACAGAGGUCUCAAGCGUUGUUCGGAUUCAUUGGGCGUAAAGGGCUCGUAGGCGGCCAACUAAGUCAUACGUGAAAUCCCUCGGCUUAACCGGGGAACUGCGUCUGAUACUGGAUGGCUUGAGAUUGGGAGAGGGAUGCGGAAUUCCAGGUGUAGCGGUGAAAUGCGUAGAUAUCUGGAGGAACACCGGUGGCGAAGGCGGCAUCCUGGACCAACACUGACGCUGAGGAGCGAAAGCCAGGGGAGCAAACGGG